rnacentral:rRNA from 1 species
AUGCCCCAGAACAUUGGCGACCAAACAUCAGAGGCCCAAUUAGUUACGAGACAUACUCAUUGGGGUUUCGCCUGCAGCAUUCUUGAGAUGUUCAGUGGCAUUCAGCCUUGGCGUGCCAAAUCAUCAGAUGAGAUUUAUCAAUCGGCUGUCGUGAAGAAAGAGAAACAGAUAUUCCCGUACAAUUUACAUACGGAGGUCGAGAAUGUCCUCUCUGGCUGCUUUGAGUAUGACUUUCGGGAUCGCUCCUUGAUGUCAUAUAUUUUACAAUCAUUUGAAAGUGCUCAAGAUGUGGAUUGUAACAACACUGGCUGGGAUAGUUAUGAAAAUCCAAGGCCAACUCAACCAAGUCGCACUAAUUGGUCACACUUUAAGGAUAUGUUGUAA